GCAGGCCUAAUACAUGCAAGUCGAGGGAGAAGUUUUGUGCUUGCACGAAACGGAAACCGGCGAACGGGUGCGUAACACGUAUGCAACCUACCUAUAACUAAGGGAUAGCCCGGAGAAAUUCGGAUUAAUACCUUAUAACAUCUCAGAACGGCAUCGUUCCAAGAUUAAAGCUCCGGCGGUUAUAGAUGGGCAUGCGGCCCAUUAGCUAGUUGGUGAGGUAACGGCUCACCAAGGCAACGAUGGGUAGGGGGUCUGAGAGGAUGAUCCCCCACACUGGUACUGAGACACGGACCAGACUCCUACGGGAGGCAGCAGUAGGGAAUAUUGGUCAAUGGACGAAAGUCUGAACCAGCCAUGCCGCGUGCAGGAUGACUGCCCUAUGGGUUGUAAACUGCUUUUAUAUAGGAAGAAACCUCCCUACGUGUAGGGAGCUGACGGUACUAUACGAAUAAGGACCGGCUAACUCCGUGCCAGCAGCCGCGGUAAUACGGAGGGU
rnacentral:rRNA from 1 species